GACGAACGCUGGCGGCGUGCUUAACACAUGCAAGUCGAACGGUAAGGCCCUUCGGGGUACACGAGUGGCGAACGGGUGAGUAACACGUGGGUGAUCUGCCCUGCACUUCGGGAUAAGCCUGGGAAACUGGGUCUAAUACCGGAUAGGACCCUGGGAUGCAUGUCCUGGGGUGGAAAGCUUUUGCGGUGUGGGAUGGGCCCGGGGCCUAUCAGCUUGUUGGUGGGGUGAUGGCCUACCAGGGCGACGACGGGUAGCCGGCCUGAGAGGGUGACCGGCCACACGGGGACUGAGAUACGGCCCAGACUCCUACGGGAGGCAGCAGUGGGGAAUAUUGCACAAUGGGCGCAUGCCUGAUGCAGCGACGCCGCGUGAGGGAUGACGGCCUUCGGGUUGUAAACCUCUUUCAGCACCGACGAAGCGCAAAUGACGGUAGGUGCAGAAGAAGGACCGGCCAACUACGUGCCAGCCGCCGCGGUAA
rnacentral:rRNA from 1 species